CACACACUGCAACUUCACGUCAAAUCCAAUACUGCCAGCACUCAGCCAAUGAUCAAUCCUUCCACUGUUACGCUGAAUCAGCACUCAGGAGAUGAAGGGAUGCAGAUGACUUCUCACAGCAUGGAAAACAGCGUCUUCAAUACUCUCUCACACUCAGA